rnacentral:rRNA from 1 species
AUUGAACGCUGGCUGCAAGCCUAACACAUGCAAGUCGAACGAGUGGCGGACGGGUGCGUAAUGUCUGGGAAACUGCCUGCUGGAGGGGGAUAACUACUGGAAACGGUAGCUAAUACCGCAUACCAUCGGAUGUUCCCAGAUGGGAUUAGCUAGUGGGUGGGGUAAAGGCUCACCUGGGAGAUGAUCCCUAGCUGGUCUGAGAGGAUGACAAGCAAAACGGGAACUGAGACAGGGGCCAGACUCCUACGGGAGGCAGCAGUGGGGAAUAGUGCACAAUGGGCGCAAGCCUGAUGCAGGCAUGCCGCGUGUAUGAAGAAGGCCUUCGGGUUGUAAAGUACUUUCAGCGGGGAGGCGUUGCCCGCAGAAGAAGCACCGGAUAACUCCGUGCCAGCAGCCGCGGUAAUAC